UAACGUUGUUGCAGUUAAAAAGCUCGUAGUUGAAUUUCGGGGUCAGCAGGUUGGUCGUGCCACUGGUAUGCACUGGUCUCGCUGAUUCCUCCCUCUUGUAGAACCGUAAUGCCAUUAAGUUGGUGUUGUGGGGAAACAGGACUGUUACUUUGAAAAAAUUAGAGUGUUUAAAGCAUGCUAACGCUUGAAUACAUUAGCAUGGAAUAAUGAAAUAGNACGAUCUAUCCUAUUUUGUUGGUUUCUAGGGUUGACGUAAUGAUUAAUAGGG
rnacentral:rRNA from 1 species